rnacentral:tRNA from 1 species
GGGGAUUUAGCUUAGUGGUAGAGCGCUUGCCUAGCAAGCUCAAGGCCCUGAGUUCAGUCCCCA